rnacentral:tRNA from 1 species
GCCCUUGUCGUCUAGCCUGGAUAGGACGCGAGCUUGCGGAGCUCGAAGCCGGGGUUCAAAUCCUCGCAAGGGCG